UUUUUUUUUUGAAGCUAGGCAGCAAAGUAAGUAAAACAUGCAAGAAAGCCAGCUCUUUGCAUUCAUUUUGGUUGCCUGCCAAAAUUGCGGGUAAAGCAUCUUAACGGGAACGGUUGAGAGUAGUACGAUCGAUGGGUAUGUGAUGAAAUGACAACAUCAUUGGGUCAUCCUGGAUGCAUGCAUGAGAUUUUUUUUUUCCAAAAAAGGGGUUUGCCCCGGCCUCUGUGCCAAUAACUGAGUAGUAAGUAAACGAACUGAUGGCAAGAAAUUCUAGUUACAACUCUCACUAUAUAUAGCUACAAAUAGAUGCCUUGAGAGUUACCUCUUGUAAGAUGUCAUGACACAAUCAAUUAUCAAAAUUUGCAUAUUUUUCUAAUCAUAAUUUACAUAUUUUUUCUUCUAAGAAAGAAAAGCAGAGAUCCUAUCCCUUUGAAAGGAAUGUACCGGCCGCAAAUCCCUAUUUUUAUUAAGAAAAGCGGGGAAUGUUCUCGGCCUCGAUCCUCUACAUCGAGUGAUGCACAUAGAUCUUUGUGCGUGAAAAAACAAAGCAAAACAUGUUAUCCAGUUGCAAUCAUGCAUUUCUCAAAAAUAUCCCUUGUCUAACUAAUAAAUGCCCCAUUUUGUCGGAAUUGAUUCUAGUACGCAAACAAAAUAUCUAAAAAUAAUGACCGGAACGAAAUGUUACUUCGAUCGUGCUAAAGGAAUCUGAUGCCCUAUCUGCGGCGACAUGACACGGCCACAUCCACCUGGCAGAAAAGAAUACUCCUACACACUUACCUGCGAUAAGCAUGAGUAUGUUGACGUCCAGGGUGAGCCUCCGCGCGGCGGCGACGCUUCUGAGGACGAUGGGCGGCAGGCCGGCGGCCGUGGCGACGAGCGCGAGCCACCUCAGCGGGUGCCAGAAGUGCUGGAAGAGCGAGGCGACCAGAAGGACCCCGCAGAGGAGCACGUAGGGGCUCGGCCAUUUGUUGAUCUUGUCCGCGCCGCCGCCGUACGCCCGCACCGACGCCUCCAGCCGCGCCCCGUUCAGCGCCUUGACUGAAACGACAGAAAAUAAGAAUCGGCCGGAAAAAAGCUUCAGUUUCUGACUCUUUUUUUUAGGGACAGUUUCUGACUUUCUGUAUGUGGCCUUCCCUCUCCUCUAGGACUCUAUCUGACACGACACGACACGCCACCAGAAAGGUGACGACUGACGAGUCGUCAGUCGUGGUUGGGUGCUGAGUUAUGUGUACUUUUAUCGAUGGAUAGUAUGUGUAGUAAAUAGAGCGGACUUGCUAAUUGUCCUACGCUAUUUAUUUGAUUAACCAAAAAAAUCAUCACGAAUAUUCAAGUAAAAUCUAAUGGUGACCUUGUGAAUCCGGUUCAAGAAGCGCACGAAAAGCCAAAGCGAGGUGAAUAUAUCCGGAGGAAAGCAACAUGUUCGACUUGAUGCAUGCGUUGGUUGGCUCACCUAUCUGGGCCUGGGAAAUGGUGGCAGCGUCGUGCACGACGAUCACCGUCCUGGAGGGCACGAUCACGGUGACCUUGUGCACGCCGGGGAGCGGCUCGAGGAGCUUCUCCACCAGCGGCACCUCCGACGGGCAGCAGAUGCCCAGCACGUCGAAGUAGCUCUUCUCCUGCCUGCCAGCCAUGAUCUCCCUCACACUCUUGGCGUGUUUUUGGUCCUCUACCGGCGACCUGCUUCCCACCCUCGUAGUCGUAUGUGACCUGCUGGCCGGCGUCGCAGUUGGAGGCGGAAUGUGUGGUGCUGGUGCGCUAGCUUAGCUGCGGGACUUGUUGGGAGGGGGGCGAGAGUAUUUAAGGAUGAUGCUGUGCAGUGCAGUGGACACAGGGGUCUGGGGAAGAGAGAGAGAGAGAGGGAGGGAUAGGUGGAUGCUGACGAAGGGAGCACCGAGGCGGCGGACCGGAGAGCUCGGCAACCGCAACCCUGCCUUUUUCCUCGCCCAGGGCUUGUCCUUAAUUAAUCUGACACACAAAUUCACUCUGAGAGAUAAACAAGUGUCGCACACAGAAUGCAGAGAUAGAGAGAGAGAGAGAAGAUGGAGAUGCGUGCACUCCCCAAUGGAGGAAAGGGAAGCGUGGUCGGCUCGCUGAAAGUAGAAAGCAGAGAGAGAGAGAGAGGAGAGUGGAGGAAGAAGGAAAGGGAAAGAGAUGAGGGGGGAGACGAGGAUAGUAAUGGAGGGCGAUUUGUCGGAUUGAUCGUGGGAUUGGGUGGAUUAACACCGCAACCGGUGCAUUAUUAGCGGCACUUCGAUAAUCAACACGCGCGCCCCGUUUCGUCUAUGGCACGCUCCUCAAUCCGCACUUAAGAAAAAGUUUUUUGCCUUUCCAUACGCAUCGUUUCUUGCUAACCCAUUUUCUUCUCUUUAUUAUACAGUUUUUGCCUUUCCAUACACUCGCAAAAAAAAGGCACGCUCCAUAAUAUGUACAAUCUUUGUCACAGCCUGUCCCGCCUCCUUACCCGCGCCGCCAUGACUUCCCGUCCCCUAGCGGGCCUGGCGGUGCUCCUCAGGUGCGGCGUGGCAAUGGGGCGGGUGCGCGUCGCCGGCGCCGCCGCACCUCCCCUUCGGCGGCUCGCAUCUGGGGUGGCGUGCUCGGGCCCCACCCUUCCGCGCUUUCCGGGGCUGCUGGCCCGCCCGUGCUCGAUCGCGUGAGCUUCUCUCCCCUGCCGGCAACAGGCGACCUUCCACUUUUGGAGUCUGCGCCUGCCACGUUUUUGGAGGUUUCCCAGCUUGCGGGCCCGCCUGCAUGCACGGACCGGCCUCCCAUGCCAGGUCCCAACCGCACAGUCGUUGCGCUGGUGGCCUCUGGCCUGCUUGCGGCCAAUGAGAGACCGCUUCCCCAAGCCAUGGUGGACAACGGGCAGAUUGCCCUUGGUCAACUCACGUUGCUGGCCCUGCGGGAGCUGCUUUGUCGGGUGCUGCCUUGCAGCCUCUAGUCUGCUCUCCGACAGCCGUGGUCCCCUCCAGCACGCUCGUCUCGGACCCCGCCACCCCUGCUCUGACCGUGCUACUGCAGCCAACCACAACUCCUAUUCCUGCUCAGGGGCGGGGCCCCAGGUCUGCGGCUCCACUGGCUCCAUUGGCGUCCCCGAGGCGGGCCCCUCCAUUCCGCGCCCGGUGGACGAAUCCUUGGCCUUGAUUCCCAUCCAGGCCAUGCAAGAUCCUGGCCACGUCCCUGCUGCGGCCCCAGCUAGCUCGGUGGCGAUGCACGACGCCCUGGAUGCUUUUGUCCUCUCUGUGCAACAUGGACUGAACCCGGUGCUGCAGCCCCCGCCUCGCCGUCGUAGACGUGAAAUUCCACCCAAUUUCACCCCACGCAGGAGCCACCGUAUCGUCCAAGCUGACCGUGGCCUAGACUCUGAGAUGAAGGCCAAGAGGGUGCUACUCCGACGUCUGGGCCUCCUCCACGACGACAAACCCGUUGAUCCUGUCGCGCUGGAUAAGUACGCCAAGUCGUUUGAGCGGCCCCUCGCCCCAGAUGUCCUGCAAGCCUUCGCCGAUUUCUACGGGUGGGAUGUCCCCGUGGAUGGCGUGCUGCCCAUUCUAGCUCCAUCUUCGUCGGGCAUUGCGGCUGCUUAGUCCGCCCUAGAGCUAGUCUCUCCCUGGGACUCAUGUCUUGUCAUAUGGAGUGCAACCCUAAGAUUAUAUUCUGGAACGUCUGCGGCCUCAACUCUGGUGCCAAGCGCGCCGCCGUCCGCAGUGUUAUCUCCUCGGACCCUCCCGCCGUCAUUUGUUUGCAAGAAACCAAACUCAAGCUCCUCACACCCACUCUUGUCUCGGAGACCCUAGGCCCGACCUUCGAUGCCUUCUUCUUCUUGCCCGCGGUGGGCACGUGUGGUGGCAUUCUUCUCGCUUGGCGAAGCUCUGAGAUCGUGGUUUCCAUCCCAAUCUUCGGCACGCACCACAUCACCGCCACGGUUUCUUUGCUGACUGGUGAUUGCCCUUGGUGGCUCACGGGUGUGUACGGACCGCAAUCGGACGCUGACAAGGUCACCUUCCUGCAAGAUCUUCAGGACAUUUGUGCCCUCUGCGCUGGCCCUUGGAUCAUCGGCGGCGAUUUCAACAUGAUCGAGGCCGCGGUAGACAAGAACAACUCUCGGCUCAACAUGCGCCUCAUCAGGCGUUUUCGCCGCUUCAUGGCCGACAUGGAGCUGCGUGACAUGUACCUUCACGGCAGGUGCUACAUGUGGUCUAGCGAGCGCGACAACCCCACCCUGGUCCGCAUAGAUCGUGUCCUCUGCACCUCCUCCUGGGAAUCUGCUCACCCGAGCUGCCUUCUUCGGUGCCUGUCCUCCGCUGCCUCGGAUCAUUGCCCGCUUGUGGUCGAUUGCGCCCCGCGUUCUCCAGGGCCGCGCCGCUUUCGCUUUGAGCAAUUUUGGUCGAAGAUGCAAGGCUUCCAGCAAGUCGUUUCGGACGCCUGGUCCUCCGUGCAGCCUGACCCUGAUCCAUUCCGCCGGAUCUUUGAUCGCCUCCGGAUCACGGCUCGGCGGCUGCAGAGCUGGAGUGCCAAGUCCAUCGGCGACGUCUCCCUGCAACUCAUGGUCGCCCGGGAACUCAUCGCUCGCCUCGACGCGGCACAAGACCUCCGGCCUCUCUCCGCCCAGGAAGCUUGGCUCCGACGGCGGCUCAAGGGCGCCUACCUUGGGUUGGCCUCCUUGGAGCGCACCAUCCUCCGCCAGCGUGUUCGCCUAGCUUGGCUCCGCGACGGCGAGGCCUCCUCGGCCUUUUUGCGCAUCCAGGCCUCGCACCGGAAGCAGCGCACCCGCAUCCUCUCGCUCCGCCACGGUGACAGCACCACCUAUGAUGAGGAUGCCAUGGUCGAGACCGCCUUCCACCACUUCUCGAAUAUCAUCGGCGCCACCGACCCACGCGAGUUCUCCUUGGACCUGGAUGCAAUUGAUCCCAGAUCCUUCGACCUCUCCUUGCUCGAGCUGCCCUUCAUCGAGGACGAGGUCUGGCACGCCGUCAAGCAGCUACCCACAGGCAAAUCCCCUAGUCCAGAUGGCUUCUCAGCCGAAUUCCUACGCUCCUGCUGGGACGUGGUCAAGAGCGACUUCAUGGAAGCUUUUGACAAGCUCUACCACAUGAACGGGCAAGGUUUCCACUGUCUGAACGAGGCAUUCAUUACCCUGCUGCCCAAUCGCGCUGACGCGGCCGCCUUGUGUGACUAUCGACCCAUAAGCCCGAUUCAUCUCACCGCCAAGCUCGUCGCCAAGGUGCUUUCCCUGCGGCUCGCUCCCCGCCUCAACGAGCUCGUCUCUUCAAGUCAGAGUGCUUUCAUCUCCGGCCGUUGCAUCCACGACAACUUCCUACUUGUCCAACAGACGGCCCGACAUCUUCAUCACUCCAAGGCCAACCACGUGCUGCUCAAGUUAGACAUUGCUCGCGCCUUCGACGUCGUCUCCUGGCCUUUUCUCCUCGAGGUACUGCAGCACCUUGGCUUUGGUCGCCGGUGGUGCGAAUGGGUGUCCAUCGUGCUAUCCACGGCCACCUCGCGCGUCCUUGUCAAUGGGAGGCAUGGCCACUUCAUCCCCCAUGCGAAAGGGCUCCGUCAGGGUGAUCCGGUGUCCCCCAUGCUCUUUACCUUGGUGAUCGACGUCCUCAACUCCCUCAUGCAGCACGCCACGGGCAUGGGCAUCCUCCGGCGCCUGACCCCACGCCAUGUUGCCCCUAGUGUGUCCCUCUACGCCGACGACGUCGUCAUCUUCUGCCAUCCGGACAGGGCCGAGCUGACGGCGGUGCAUUCCAUCCUGCAUGCUUUUGGGCAAGCAUCGGGCCUCCAUAUGAAUUUCGCCAAGUGCUCCGCCACUCCCAUCCACUGCAUCGACGAGGAGACGUCUUGCAUAGCUGCUGUGCUGUCCUACCCCAUUGCCAGCUUCCCCAUCUUCUACCUGGGCCUUCCUCUCUCGGUGUGUAAGGUGCCGGCCUCGACUCUUCAACCCUUGGUGGACCGCCUGGUCAAGAAGCUCUCCACAUGGCGCGCCUCCAUGCUCUCGAGGGGCGAGCGCCUAGCUCUGGUGAGGCACGUGCUAUCUGCUAUGCCGAUCCACCUCCUCAUGGCCAUGGCGAUCUGCCAACCGGUUCUCAAACGUGUCAACCGCAUCAUCAGAGAGUUCCUCUGGCACGGGCGCCGCGAGGCCAACGGUGGGCACUGCCUGGUUAACUGGCAAAAGGUGUGUCGACCUCUCGAGUUUGGCGGCCUCGGCAUCCUGGAUCUUCGGCGUUUCGGCAUCGCGCUGCGCACGAGAUGGUGCUGGCUUCAGCGCACGGAUCUGUCUCGCCCUUGGCGUCACCUCAAGCUGCCCGACGACCCGGAGGCUCGCGCCAUCUUCCGCGCCUCCACUACGUGGACCGUGGGUGACGGGCGAUCCUGCCUCUUCUGGGAGGACCAUUGGGUGGACGGCCAUUCCAUCUCCGAGCUGGCUCCAGCCCUCGCCUCCCUUGUUCCCCGCCGAUGCCGCCGUUCCUGCACCGUGGCGGACGGCCUUCUCCACCGUGCCUGGACCCGUGACCCUCGAGGAGCUCUCACUCCGGUGGCCAUGGUCCAGUACGUUGAGCUCUGGCGCCACCUCCAGCAUACCACUCUCUCCGACGAGCCGGAUCGCUUGAGUUGGCGCUGGACAAGCAACGGCUGCUAUUCCGCUAAGUCCCGCUACAUUGCACUCUUUGCUGGUUCCAUCCGUGCGCCGCACUGGCAGCUGACUUGGAGAACCUAGGCACCCCUCCGGAUUAAGUUCUUCGCGUGGCUUGCGCUCCAGGACCGGUGUUGGACGGCCGCGCGCCUAGCUCGCCACGGCCUCCCCCACCAUGCCCUCUGCCUGCUCUACGACCAGGAGAUCGAAUCCAUGGAGCACCUCCUGACUGGUUGCCCCUUCUCGAGGCAGGUUUGGCACAACUGCCUUGCUUGGUGCACUUUCACAGUUCAUGCGCCAACUGUCGGCACUCGGUUCCUCGACUGGUGGCACGCUACCACGGGCAACGCCCCGGCGGCGCACAGGAAGGGCCUCUCCUCGCUCAUCUUGCUCAUCGCUUGGUCUAUCUGGAGGCACCGCAACUCCUGCGUGUUUGACGGCAGCACCCCCUCAGCUACGCAGCUAUGCCUCAACAUCCGCAAUGAAGCGAGCUCCUGGAUCAAGGCAGGAGCGUCUGGGUUAGCCGCCAUAGCACCUUAGACGCUACAUGAUUGUUUUGGGGCUGAGCAUACCCACUCUCUAUCAUGCUCGCGCUAGCGACNNNNNNNNNNNNNNNNNNNNNNNNNNNNNNNNNNNNNNNNNNNNNNNNNNNNNNNNNNNNNNNNNNNNNNNNNNNNNNNNNNNNNNNNNNNNNNNNNNNNNNNNNNNNNNNNNNNNNNNNNNNNNNNNNNNNNNNNNNNNNNNNNNNNNNNNNNNNNNNNNNNNNNNNNNNNNNNNNNNNNNNNNNNNNNNNNNNNNNNNNNNNNNNNNNNNNNNNNNNNNNNNNNNNNNNNNNNNNNNNNNNNNNNNNNNNNNNNNNNNNNNNNNNNNNNNGUAUUCUCUUUUCGACCUAUCAAUGAAUGAUACGCAAGCUUUGCGUAUUCGCGAAAAAAAACACAUGUUUGGAUACCACUCUUCUUUUCUUUUACUGACAAAAAGGAAAACUAAAUGUUUUUCUCUUCCCAAUACAGUUACCAAUGAUUUACUGACCAAGGAGUUCAUUCGACCAUCGAUGGGUCUACCAAUAUUACUGAUUUUGUCUCAACUCAUAUUAAUUUCCUUGUCAUUAGUGGAGAGCCACUUUCUAGUUUGGCCUCACUUUUCGCUUCUAUUUCAGUAGGAUCUUUUUUUCUUGCGGUCAAAAGGUCUUUUCCUUUGGAAUGCGUAGCUUUUGCCUUAACCAAUGUGCAGAUCGACAUCGAUAGCAAUCGAAAAUGAUACAUGUGACCUCCUCAACUGAACAAAAAUCCCGCCGGUAUUUACACUAUUAUCGUAGAAAAGGUCACACAAAAAAGACUCAUUUUACAUAGAGUGAUGCUAUACUUUUUAACAAAACGAGUAAUGUGAAGGAAAGUUAUGACCGGCAAUAAAAAAGUUGAGCUUAAUCCUCGCUCUCUCCACGUAAAGUGGGAUGGGAAUCGUUGCGCGCUACCAUGUACUUGGCCAUCUAUGAUCUAGUAUAAGCCAAGUUAGAGUAGGUGUGAAUAUAUGGAUUUUUUUUUCCGAAACGGAACGAAUAUAUGUCGGAAUAUUAUUCCUGCAUGGCCGCUACUAACACAUGACCGCGUGUAGACCGAUGAGUAAUGUCCUGUCGAUUGGAUGCUUGGUGACUAGAAGAGGGAACGUGAGAGCAUCUCUAGCCGUUGGCCCCUCCAGGACGCAUAAAAAUCGCCCCCUGGGGCGAGCCGGCGAUUCGUUCAGCGUUGGGGGCGGUUUUGCGCUCAGUCGUCGCCCCCAGCUCGCCCCCAGACGUUGAUGUUGGACCACAUUUGAAGCCCUAUUUCAGCGAAAAGGGCCCAUAUGGGCGAGAAUAGGUCCAUAUUCAUCCUCAUCGCUGUUGUGCAUUUCUGGAUCGAGGUGAAUCCAAGUUUGCCGGUGCAAUCCAUUUUGCAUUUGAAGUAGUUGUCGAACUCCCGGAUGGAAUUCACAAUCCCGAGGAAAAGCUUUCUGCUCAUCCGAUAACGUCGCCGAAAUGUUCUGUCGCCCUGAAGUGGAGCAUCAGUGAAGUAGUCGGAGUAGAGCAUGCAGUAGCCUUCGAGACGAUGUCGGUUCUUUGCUUUCACCCGCCCCGGCGCCGAGCCACCUCGCUGCGGCUUUUCAUUGAUCGCCAGCAGCUGGGCGAGGGCGGCGAGCACCAUGAGAUGCUCUUCUUCCUGGACGUCGGCCUCGGCUUCCUCCUCCAGCAGCGCGGCAAGCACUUCCUCAUCAUCCGAGUCCAUCACCGAGGCAGGCAAAUCGCCGAACAUCUUGCGCCCGGUGGGCGUGCACCCGCCGCUAAACUGCCCCUCCGCGGCCGGAAACGCCCAGCUGUUGUCGGAGGGGCUACCGCGGCGAACCUCAGCUAUUUUUCCGUCCGGGAAUGGCUAUCUACCGGUGCAGGGCGGCGGGCGGCGCCGGGAUAUAGCUUGUGGCGGCCGAGAGCNNNNNNNNNNNNNNNNNNNNNNNNNNNNNNNNNNNNNNNNNNNNNNNNNNNNNNNNNNNNNNNNNNNNNNNNNNNNNNNNNNNNNNNNNNNNNNNNNNNNNNNNNNNNNNNNNNNNNNNNNNNNNNNNNNNNNNNNNNNNNNNNNNNNNNNNNNNNNNNNNNNNNNNNNNNNNNNNNNNNNNNNNNNNNNNNNNNNNNNNNNNNNNNNNNNNNNNNNNNNAAUCUUGACUUUUCACCUGACGGCGUGGGCCAGCCGCGCUUUUCCCUUGCGCUGGAGCCCCCAAGCGCCCCCAGCGUGUUGGGUUCGGCAUGCGGCCGCCGGGCGUAAGAAAGGGCCGAACCGGCGCUGCUUUCCAUCGUCCUGGGGGCGCGACUGGGGCGUUUUUUUGGCGCCGGCGCUGAAAAAGUCGCCUGGGGGGGCCUGUUGGGGGCGCGGCUGGAGAUGCUCUGAGUGCAGCAACGGGAUCGAUGCCGAAACUAUUUGAUCUCCUUUGGCGAAGGAUUGUACCAUAUACUCUCUUUUUUGCGGUAUAAAGAUCAUGCAUUACUCACUUUGGUUUACAUGUUACAAUCUCGUCCAACAAUUUCCAGGACUUCUUCCGGACCAGAGCCUAGCCAAACAACAGUUCGGCGAUGCAACCUACCAAAGUUAGCCAAGGAAUGACUAGCCUUAUUACAACUCCGACGAGUGUGAGCAAUGCAAGAACUUCGUUCCCCCAAACUACUGAUGAUCUCUCUUAUAAUGAAAGCAAACCUAGACUUGUUACUGCUGCCACCUCUUAUCAUCUUGAUCGCUUCCAGACAAUCCGACUCAAUAUCCAAAGGUAAGUUGCUCCAUUGUAGCGCCAGCAAGAUACCCCAUCGCAAGGCCAGGAGCUCGGCUUACAGAACAUCACAGCCUCCCUGUAUGUGUCUACAUGAAGUGAAGAUAAUGGAACCCUCAUGAUCCCUUAGAAUCAUACCAGAUCCUGCUUCCUCUCCAGCAAGCGAAGCAUCUGUGUUUAGUUUCACUCUACCCAUGUCCGGUUUAGUCCAAGGGGCCUCAACAACCCCAUCUAUAGAGCAGCCAACGGAUGGAAUUGGAUUAGAACCUGUAACCAUGACGGCCUUCCCUUUGAUAGGAUCAUAGUGUGGAUCGACCUUGAUGGUACAAAGUGAGGACAGGUAACUAGACAAAAACCGCACUAACACAUCCAUUGGGGGUGGUUGCUUGUGAUGGACAAUCUCAUUGCGAAUAAACCAGAUUCUCCAGAACAACAUAAGCACAUGCACUCUGCCUUCAUCAUUCAGUUCAGACAAGAGUUUGAUAAACCAAUCAGAGCCGACCGGCUUUAACAAAGAUCUAGGUGGUAGCUUCCACUCCUUUGCCAUCAGCUUCCAUAGCACCCUCGCAUGAUUACAACUGCAGAACACAUGGAGUGAAUCCUCCUCUUCCAUACCACACACUGGGCAUAACGGUGACACCUCAAGUUUCCUUUUGACUUUGUUGGUCCAGUUUGCCAAUGAGUCCGUGGCCAAUCUCCACGCAAAACUCCGAACUUUUGGUGGAGCCAUACUUUUCCAAAUGGGAUUCCAACACUCCCGUGUGCCAUCGGAUCUGGCGCUGGUGGAGUGUCCCCGUGGGUUCAUCAACUCAUCACUAGCAAGUUUGUAAGCACUCCGGACCAAGAACACUCCGUUCUUUUCAGGCGCCCAUGCCAAGAAAUCCUCCCCAAUACGAGUAAACAAACGGUUUUUUAGAAUUUCCACAAUAUCCACUGGGAGAAAAAAAUGUGUUAGUGUAUCCAUGUCCCAAUUACCAUGGAGGUUUAUGAACUCCGAGACCCAUUUGAGGCGGCACCUCCCUCGUGGUGAAAUAAGGCCCCCAGCUGGCUCCCUAACAAUCCAUCGAUCCCUCAAGAUACGGACAUUUUGGCCCAUCCCAAUCCUCCAAAUCAUGCCUUUUUUCACGAGAUCUAAUCCAUGGACAAUCGCUUGCCAAGUAGGCCAUGGGUUUCCAGCAAAAACAGUAUCCAAAAGGCGCCCACUUGGGAAGUAUUUGGCUUUAAGUAACCUGGCACACAAAGAAUCUGGAAACUCCAAGAUCCUACAGGCUUGACGUGCCAACAAGGCUUGGUUGAACAAGCGAAAAUCUUUGAAGCCCAAUCCACCUUGCUUCUUUGGUCUAGUAAUUUUAUCCCAUGCAUGCCAAUGAGUCUUCCUCUUUCCCUUCUAUGCACCCCAAUAAUAGUUGCGGAUUAGGCGAUUCAAAUCAUCGCAAAGUUCCAUGGGCAGUUUGAAGAAACUCCUAAUAUAGGUUGGGAUAGAUUGGGCAAUAGCUCUAAUAAGAACCUCUUUCCCAGCCUGUGUAGGAUGGCCAUCAUAUGCAACCAGGCGGCUUGUCAUUUUAACUUGUAAUUUUGGAAAUCCCCUUUUGACAUCCUACCGUCUGGUGUUGGUAGGCCCAAGUACUUUUCCUCAAAACCUGAUGCAGUAACCUGCAGCGUUUGCUUAACGCUUUCCAAAGUCCCAGCAGGACAGGAACUUUCGAACAUCAUAGAACAUUUGGAGGGGUUUAGAAGUUGUCCUGUAGCAGCCGAGUAAACAUCCAAAAUGCUCUUUAUAUGGUUGGCUUCCUCAAUAUCAGCCUUGAAGAACAAUAACGUGUCAUUUGCGAACAAAACAUGUGAUAUUCCGGGGGCUCUCCUUGUUAUUUUCAGUGGUGAGAAAUUCCCAGAUUCCACUCCCUUGUUAAUGAGAGCCGAGAGACCAUCUGCAACAAAAAGGAUCAAAUAAGGGGAUAACGGAUCACCUUGCCGUAGGCCACGCGACGGUGCAAAUGAAUCCAAGAUGGCUCCAUUGAAUUUUACGGAGUAUCUCACCGAGGUCACACACGACAUUAUCCAGUGUAUCCACCGGUGAGCAAAGCCAAUCUUUUGCAUCAUCUGCUUAAGGUAGUUCCAAUCCACUCUAUCAUAUGCCUUAGAGAGAUCCAAUUUAUAAGCACAGAAACUCCGAGUAGGGUCCUUUUCCUGUUUUAUGUGGUGAAUGCACUCAAACGCUAUGAAAGCAUUAUCAGUGACCAUACGCCCAGGAAAGAAAGCACUCUGAGAAGGAGAUAUUAUAUCAUCUAAAACAGGCCUCAAACGAUUCACCAAGCACUUGGACACCACUUUAUAGAUGACGUUACAUAAACUGAUUGGUAUGAAGUCUGUAAUCCUAACCGGAUUAUCCACCUUUGGAAUCAUGACAAUAAUAGUGUCGUUAAUGUGUGGUGGCAUGAUACCUGUCCGAAAAAACUCCUUUACCGCAACAACUACACUUUCCUUCAUAGUCGCCCAAUUUCUCUGGAAGAACAGCGCGGGAAAGCCAUCGGAUCCCGGCGCCUUCAAGGGACCGAUCUGGAACAGGGCAUCGGCGAUCUCCUACUCAGUAAAAUAUGUACAUAAAUUAUUAUUCAUCUCGUCGGUGACCACAGAACCGAACAGGUUUGUGACGGGGGAAGAAUCAAGUGAGGGGUCAGCCUUGAAUAUAUUUUCAAAAUAAGCAGAGGCUGCAGCUCCCAUCUCUCUGACCUCCGUGUGAACAGUACCAUGUUCAUCUACUAGUUUCUUUCGGAAAAAGUCUGAAAAUAACCUUGAUUUCGUUCUCCAAGUCUGAAUCAAACCCUGAAGUCUGAAUCCCUGAAAUUGUCACCCUGUAUUUUUUGAUCCCGGUUUAUCCAGGCCCAUUAGACGUUUGUUUGCACUGGGAUUGAAUAUGUGGAGGAAAGAGGGGGAAAUAGCUGGACUGACAAUGGGUCCUAUCAUUCUCAUAAACCCCAAUAUGUUUUCGCUCCCUCCCCUGUUUCUGCCCCUCGAUGCUUCUCCUCCCGUCCCUUCUCCUUCCCCUUUCUCACAGCGGCCAUGGCGAUUGGCGGUGGUUGAUCUCAGGGACGGCAAGACGAUCACGGCGGCCGGAGAAAUCUCCUGUAAUCCCCUUCCUCCUUCUGUUCCUCUUCUCAUCUUUGCAUUUUUUUUGCCGUUGAUUGUCCCUGGUUAGGGUUUCUGGGCAGGAAAAUGAGGUUAUUUAGGGCAUUGAUUUGUUGGAAAACAUUGGAUUUACUUUUACAUCUAGUUCGGAAUAGCUAUACUAGCCAUUAAUUUUCGUCCAAAAAUGUGUGGCAAUGCAGGUUAGGGUUUGUGCUCUCAUCAUGGAUGCUUGCGACAAACUGAAUGUGCGGUUUAAUUUCGGUGGGCAAUUUGUUCGAAUUGGACCUACUUUAGACUAUGUUGGUGGAGAUGAUGCAAUGUCAGAGAUUGAAAGGGAUAAAUUAUCUUUGCCAGAGAUCAAAGGAUUUCUUGGUGAUCACAUACCUUUCAAAGAAAGUAUGAAGCUUUACUUCCUGAUCCCUGGUAAAAAACUAGUGGAUGGCCUAUUAUUUUUGUGUGAUGAUGCUGGCUGUAUGAAGAUGUCUGAAUACAUAACUGAUGGAGGAGUGGCUGAGGUCUAUGUGGAGUACUUUGGGGAGCAAGAUGAUCAAAGUGCAAGUGACAGUGGUAGUGAUUUUGAAAAUGAGAUGGGCAAUGAGUUAGAUGGAGGGAGUGAUACAGAACCAGAUGCAGUCAUAACUGCAGAGGAAGAUGUUCAGAUAAUUAGUGGAAAUCCAUCAUCAUUGACUGCAAAAGAAAGUGUGCUUGUACCAAAUGAUAGUGGUGUUAUAACCCAGGUUAUUAGCAGCCCUACAAAGCACAAUUUCAGAAUGAAACAGAGGACUAAAAGUGCACAUGUUGAGAUACAGAGUUUACAAAUUGAGGCACAAAGUUCUCAGGAUCAGCUACAUACCUCUCAGGUCAUUAAUCCAGGAACACAUAGUGAUAAUGCAGCAGACCAACAUACAUAUGAACAUGAGAGUGAUGACAGUGGCUCUGCUAUUUCAGACAGUGAGGAAGAUGAUAGUGAUUAUGUGGCAGGAAGUGAUGAGAGUGGACUGGAAGAGGAAUAUGUUGAGCUAAGGGAACAAGCAAGGGCUUUUAAGAAGAGAAUUAGAGACUCAAAGAGAUGGGCUAAGAGAAAUCCAUCUGGUGCCGUUCCAAUAGAUCUAGUGGCUAAUGUGGAAGAAGUGGUAGGAGAAGACCACUUCGACUCAGAUGACGAAGAUUACUCAUACGAUGAGGACAGUGAUCAUGAAGGAGAAUUUGUUAGGAGGAAGACUAAGUUCCCAAGGUAUAACCCUAAGGUAGAUAUUCCACUAUUCUGCUUAGGAAUGGUUUUCAGGAGCAAGGAUCAGAUGAGAAAGGCACUAAUAAAAUAUGGACUCCUGACAUUUAGAAGUAUAAACUUCAUGAAGUCAGAAGAAGGGAGGAUUAGGGCUAAAUGUGGAUGGCCUGGAUGUCCCUGGACUAUAUAUGGUGCUUAUACUAGCAGGUGUUCUAGAUUCCAGGUGAUCACAUAUGAAGAUCAACAUGAGUGUGCACCUAACAGAGACAAUCAUCUUGUCACUGCAAAAGUUAUUGCUAGGAGAUAUGAGCAUAUCUUAAGAGCGAACCCCACAUGGAAAAUUGAUAGCAUUAAAGCCACUGUUUUGAAAGAUUUCUUUGCUGAUGUAUCAACUUCAAAGUGCAAGGCUGCUAAGAAGAUAGUGUCAGAGAAGCUACUUGCUGGACUGAAAGAUGAGUACACCAAGGUGUUUGAUUACCAGCUUGAACUACUUAGGAGCAAUCCUGGGAGCACAAUCCUUGUUGGCUUGGACCCUGAAUACAUGGAUCAAAAUAUCUUCCAAAGCUUUUAUGUGUGCUUUAGUGCUAUGAAACAGGGUUUUAAAGCAUGCAGAAGAGUUAUUGGGCUUGAUGGUUGUUUUUUCAAAGGAGCAUGUCAAGGUGAGUUGCUAUGUGCUAUUGGUAGAGAUGCUAAUAAUCAAAUGUAUCCAGUAGCUUGGGCAGUAGUGGAGAAAGAAACAACCGAAACUUGGGAGUGGUUUAUUGGCCUGUUGAUAAAGGACUUGGAUAUUAAUGAUCAAGGUGAAGGAUGGGUGUUCAUAUCAGAUCAGCAGAAGGUAUGCUGUUAAUUAUGAGCUUUUAAAUGAUCAUGUUGUCGAAGCGUGAAACAUUUAUGUUGGUUUUUAGGUGUACUCAUUUGUCUUAUGUACAAAUUCUAAAAAAAUUCCAACUUCUGUGUAGGGCUUGAUCAGUGCAAUGCAAGACUACUUGCCAAAGGCACAACAUAGAAUGUGUGCUAGACACAUCUAUGCUAACUGGAAAAAGAAGUUUAGAGAGCAUGCUUUGCAAAAGAAAUUCUGGGCAAUUGCCAAGGCUGCAAACAGAGAAGACUUCAUGUAUAGGAAGGCCAAGUUAGCUCAAGAUACACCUGAAGGUGCAAGGGACAUAAUGAGGACAGAGCCUAAGCAUUGGGCAAGAGCAUUCUUUCCUGUUGGAUCCCUUUGUGACUCAGUGGAUAACAAUCUAUGUGAGUCCUUCAACAAUGCUAUAGUUGAGGCCAGAUUCUAUCCUAUCAUCUCUAUGCUAGAGAAAAUUAGACACAAGAUGACACUUAGAGUCCAAGAAAAUAGGAGCAAAAGUGCAAAGUGGACAUCUAGUGAUAUAUGCCCAAACAUUUUCAAGAAGCUUAAGGUGGCCAUCAAAAUGACUCAGUUCUGUGAUGUUCUCUGGAAUGGCAAGGAAGGGUUCGAGGUGAAACAUGUGAGUGGCAGAGGAAGGAGCUAUACAGUAAACUUAGACAAAUGGACUUGCUCUUGUGGUUACUUUCAGCUGGCAGGGCUGCCUUGCUGCCAUGCCAUCAGUGCCAUAUACAAGAGUGGAAGAAACAUAGCUGAUUUCAUUCACAAGUGCUAUUCAGUUGAGCAAUUUAAGAAGAUAUAUGAGCACUGCUUGGAUCCAGUAGAAGGACAGGAGAGAUGGCCUGUCUCAGACAAACCUAGACCACAAGCACCUGGGUAUGUGAGUAUGCCAGGUAGGCCUAGGAAGAAUGACAGGAAGAGGGAAGAGGGAGAAGCACCUAAAGGAAAGAAAAUGUCAAAGCAUGGCACUAAAAUUACUUGCAGCAUGUGUGGCCACAAGGGCCACAACAAGACAGGCUGCAACAAGAAUCCUGAAAAGGGGAAGAAGAAGAAUGCCUUCCUGAAGAAAACAGGCAGGAAAAUGAAGUCAUCUGAGGUAAAUACAAGUUCACUCUCUUUUUUAAAUGGUUGUACUUUUAUUUUAAUAAUUUGUGCAAUGACAUACUCUCAUAUUUUGUAACAGCAAGCAAACACUGAUGCUCAGAUCAGAGCAAGCCAGCAGGCUAAGAGCGGAGGAGAAGUUGAAGCACAAGCAAGAAUAAGUGGAGGGAAGAGGAAGGCUACAAACAAACAGAAUGUGCAAGCCAAGAAAAAAUCAAAGAAAUGAUAUGAUGGACAAGUGAUUUAAGUUAGCAUAUUAAUGAACUGCUGGUUAUUUCAUUUUGAUGGUUAUGUCACUUUGCUGGUUAUGUCACUCUGGUCAUGUAGUACCAGAUAUGUGUUGAACUAAUGCAUCUAUGUAGAACUGAACCAGUUAUGUCUUUCCAAUGCAAAAUAUCCAGAACUAGUGAUUUCGUCACUCUGGAGAAAUUUACCUGUUGUUUAUGUGAUAUGUGUUUAUGUUUUUCCAAUGCAAAAUGUACCAGCUGCUAUUUUGUCACUUUGGACAAAUAUGCAGAAGUAGCACUAGCUGCUAUUUUCUAAAGUUGCCGACCAACAAAAUGAACCAGCAAAUGUAACAUCAUCCAACAAUAUGAAGUACCAUUCCAUCAUCCAACGAUUACAUCAUUCUGCUAGUACAAAAUUUUGACAUUACAUUCAUCUUCUAGCUGUCAAUGCAGGACAAAUCUUGCAAAUAAACCUGCCACUAACAUGAUCAUGCCAUAAAACACAAUGCUGGACAUUUGUUUUCUUUCUAAACUAUCACAUCUUGCCCUAUUUGCUUGAACUUCUGCAUUUUUCUUCAGAACUAAUUGUCUCAAUGCAUCCUCUGUUCCAUUUCUCUGCAUCUGUUCUAUCCAUUGCUUCCAGCCAUCACCACAUGCAGCUUCAAACCUCCUGAUUGCAUCCCAAAGAUCCAUUAGUAGUUGUACAACAAAUGGGGAGCAGGGAUCAUCAUGCCGCUGAAAAAAAAAUCCACAGCCAUCUCUCUGAAUGAAACAGUUCAUACCAUCAGAAACGGAAACAAGGACAAGGAAAAAUUACAAGAGAAGAAGAUUGGAAGCUUACUACAAUUCCAUGAACGCAGCAGUAGAAUCUUCUUACAGUGGCAUUCCACUGCCGGCUCGUACGCCAUGGCGUCCUCGCAGUACGGCGCGGACGACCUUGAUGGAGCCAUGCGCCCACGACCUCCGCCUGAGUACGACGCGCGGGAGGAGGAAGACGUCGUCGAUUACUGCCGAAGCCCACCUCCUGCUUGAGUAACCGCCGCCGCCGCCGCCGCCGCCCGUCUCCAGCCUACCAACG
rnacentral:lncRNA from 1 species